rnacentral:rRNA from 1 species
AUGAACGCUAGCGGCAGGCCUAAUACAUGCAAGUCGAGGGGCAGCGGGGUAGCAAUACUGCCGGCGACCGGCGCACGGGUGCGUAACACGUAUGCAACCUACCUUAAACUGGGGGAUAGCCCGGGGAAACUCGGAUUAAUACCCCAUAACACAGUGAUGUCUCAUGACACUAUUGUUAAAGAUUUAUCGGUUUAAGAUGGGCAUGCGUUCGAUUAGCUAGUUGGCGAGGUAAUGGCUCACCAAGGCUACGAUCGAUAGGGGGUCUGAGAGGAUGAUCCCCCACACUGGUACUGAGAUACGGACCAGACUCCUACGGGAGGCAGCAGUAGGGAAUAUUGGUCAAUGGAGGCAACUCUGAACCAGCCAUGCCGCGUGUAGGAAGAAGGCGUUCUGCGUUGUAAACUACUUUUGAUUGGGAACAAAUGACUCUUGCGAGAGUAGCUGAGUGUACCAAUAGAAUAAGCCACGGCUAACUACGU